rnacentral:rRNA from 1 species
UACAGAGGGUGCGAGCGUUGUCCGGAAUCACUGGGCGUAAAGGGCGCGUAGGUGGCGCUGCAAGUCGGUGGUGAAAGCUCGAUGCUUAACAUCGAGUCGGCCAUCGAAACUGCAGGGCUCGAGCACUGUAGGGGCAGAUGGAAUUCCGGGUGUAGCGGUGGAAUGCGUAGAGAUCCGGAAGAACACCGGUGGCGAAGGCGGUCUGCUGGGCAGUUGCUGACACUGAGGCGCGACAGCGUGGGGAGCAAACAGG